CCUACGGGAGGCAGCAGUGAGGAAUAUUGGUCAAUGGGCGCGAGCCUGAACCAGCCAAGUCGCGUGAGGGAAGACGGUCCUAUGGAUUGUAAACCUCUUUUGUCGGGGAGCAAAAGACGCCACGCGUGGCGUUCCGAGAGUACCCGAAGAAAAAGCAUCGGCUAACUCCGUGCCAGCAGCCGCGGUAAUACGGAGGAUGCGAGCGUUAUCCGGAUUUAUUGGGUUUAAGGGGUGCGCAGGCGGAAGGUCAAGUCAGCGGUAAAAUUGAGAGGCUCAACCUCUUCGAGCCGUUGAAACUGGUUGUCUUGAGUGAGCGAGAAGUAUGCGGAAUGCGUGGUGUAGCGGUGAAAUGCAUAGAUAUCACGCAGAACUCCGAUUGCGAAGGCAGCAUACCGGCGCUCAACUGACGCUCAUGCACGAAAGUGUGGGUAUCGAACAGGAUUAGAUACCCCAGUAGUC
rnacentral:rRNA from 1 species